rnacentral:tRNA from 1 species
AACAUAAUAGUUUAAGGAAAAUAUUUAGUUUGAAACUAAAAGAUGGGCACUAAGUUCUUGUGUUG